AUGGAGGGGGAUAACUACUGGAAACGGUAGCUAAUACCGCAUAACGUCGCAAGGCCAAAGAGGGGGACCUUCGGGCCUCUUGCCAUCAGAUGUGCCCAGAUGGGAUUAGCUAGUAGGUGGGGUAACGGCUCACCUAGGCGACGAUCCCUAGCUGGUCUGAGAGGAUGACCAGCCACACUGGAACUGAGACACGGUCCAGACUCCUACGGGAGGCAGCAGUGGGGAAUAUUGCACAAUGGGCGCAAGCCUGAUGCAGCCAUGCCGCGUGUAUGAAGAAGGCCUUCGGGUUGUAAAGUACUUUCAGCGGGGAGGAAGGUGUUGUGGUUAAUAACCGCAGCAAUUGACGUUACCCGCAGAAGAAGCACCGGCUAACUCCCCGCCAGCACCCGCGGUAAUACGGAGGGUGCAAGCGUUAAUCGGAAUUACUGGCCCCACAGCGCACGCAGGCGGUCUGUCAAGUCCGAUGUGAAAUCCCCGGGCUCAACCUGGGAACUGCAUUCGAAACUGGCAGGCUAGAGUCUUGUACAGGGGGG
rnacentral:rRNA from 1 species